CCGGAGCCCCGGCCUGGCUCGGCUACCUGAAGGCGCUUUUGUUUGACUCAGGCGCGCCAGGAGCACAUUCUUUCACAUUAGGAACCGCAGGGGAAGACAUUCAUUCACUCCUUUUUUUUGGUGACGUAGCUGGGGCAUUCAUGUGUUUUUAACCUUGAAUAAUUUUUGCCUCUAAGCUCCAAACAAGUUUUAUCCUGUCCACAGGUCAGUUUUGUUACAGAGGCCAAUUAGCAGUGCUACCUUCGCCUGCGGCAAAAAGCCAAGUAAUGACCGGGCAAGCCCUGCGGAGGGGUGAUGAAUAACUCCGGAGAGCUGUAAUUUGAAAGGGGGGCCUUUGAAGCAUUUACCUUACAUGGGACGCCAUUGUCCCUGCAGGGUGUUUGAUCUUAAAAUAAUUUACUUAAUGAUCUCACCAUGGGAGCAAUUGGCAGAGCAAGAUUAGGCUGUAAGGCCUAAUGGACAUGGGAAAAGUUAAAAUUGCUCAGAGAAAGGCGUGGCUGUGCUGACUUCAGAGAGGAAUUGUUGGUGGCUUAGCAACAGCUGCACACACAGCUUCCAGAGGGAAUGGAGCUGAAUUGGACAUGGCAACAAGAAUGCAGGCCUGAAUCACAUUAUGUUCCAAGAACCUUUAACUUUGCAUCAUAAUGACCUGCGGCCUAACAGAAGCAAAUUGCAAGUGGUUUCAAAAGGAUAAACUCUAAUUUAUAUUAAGCUAGUAUUAUAACUUAAGCAGCUCGUUUUGAAAGCAAAACUAAAAACCUCAUCAUUCAUGUGAUGGCCCCUAAAUGCAUCCUUUUUCAUUUUACCUGUAAAAUGCUCUGUGUUUGCUGACAGGUUAAAUGUAUACUAUACACAGAGAGCCAACAUUUCUCUUUGUAACACUGCAGCAAUCUUACUUUUAGCAGCAUUCGUAUUAUUUUAAGCUGUCCCCAUUUUCUUCUAAACACCAUAAUUAGAAGCUGAAAAGCUUACAGCAACCAAACCCAAUAAGGUCUCAUUAUGAACAAAAUAUUCUACCGUGGCUCAACAAGUGACCCAAUGUAUUCCAACAAGAUGAAGCCUUCAGCCUUCCUGCCCAAUUACGGCAUCAGCUUUCAUUUUCCUAGAGAGAAGAGUGGAAAAGAAAACCCGUCUGCUGGAAAGGGUUCAGAGUCUCUCUGAUGGGUGGAGUGGUGUUUUGUAAAUGAGUUGAAUGAGAGAAUCAGUGAGAAGAAAGCUAGAAUAAUUACACAGAUUGACUAAAGAAAAAAGGGGAGGGGAUGAUUUUAGGACCAAAGAAAUUCUUUUCCCCAUCAGAUCACUGACUUUUCCAUUUGGAUGCUUAGUGUCUUUUUCCCUUUGACUCAUCUUCUUGAACUCUGUGCAAAUGCAAAGUCCUAAGAGAGACAGGAUGUUAGGGUGGUGCAAAAGUAAUUGCGGUUUUUGCAAUUACUUUUAAUGCCAAAACCGCAGUUACUUUUGCACCAACCUAAUACAUCAAGUAUUAUCAAUCAUUUACACCUGAGUAUAAAUGAACACUUUUACCCCUUUCUCAUAGCAAAAGAAAGCAGAGGGCUAGAGGAGAAAAUUUAAAAAAAAAAUUAGAAAAUCUCUUCUGUUUUCGUGUUUUACCUGGGAUUGUUGUGAAUGUUAGUCCCUUGCUUCACCGUAUUGUCAUGUCUUUUUAUGUUGACUUUAAACUUGGAAGUACUAGGUAAGGGAGAAAUGAAAUGUGUUUUGAUAUCCUAUAGCUUUUUCAGAAAAUACUUUCCCAAAACCAAGUAGACACAAAGCUGCCUGGUUAUGAAGUAUUCUCAUUUAAAUCAAGCAUGUGAAAUGGGGAAAUAAAUCUUGGACUUUUUUCUUUAUUUUAUAUUCUGCUAGUGAAACACUGAACUCUGAAAAAUGGGCAUGUCACGAUUGCUUUUAAUAAAUCUACUUACCUGUCAUAUGUUUUCAAGGUUUCCUUACUGUUGCUAAUUAUCAAGCUGUAUUUCUCUUAUUUCUCUAAGCUUUAGGACACAAUGAAGCAUAUCAAUCAGCAUGAAUCUCAGAGAAGCUGCUUAUCUCUUAGAUACCAUCUCAACUGUUAUUAGACGCUGGGUCUCCCAAGCCAUGACAGUCCCACUUCGCAACAUUCCUUUUCCUUUCCUCACUUUUAGACUGAGUCUAGAUUCAGAUUAUCUUUUUCUUUUUCUCAUCUUUGCCACCCAGUCUCCCAACACACACACACACACACACACACACACACCCCAAGUGCAGGCUGAACUUGCUUAUGAAACUUGGGGAUUGGUACUCAUCAAAUCAAAGAGAAAGUGACUUUCAGAGCUAUUUUCCCUCCUAUGGCCGCGUGGUUCAAAAUUACAAUUGAGAAGUGUCCCCCGUGUCAAGUAAGUCAGGAAGUGGGAAAAAUGACCCAUUGAUUUUAAAACCUCUGGACAGAGCCUGGAAUCUACCUCCGUAGCAGACUCCCCAAGUGCUCUGUAAGUGCUUUAAACCAAAGAGUCUCUGACCUGGGGACCCUAUUCUCUAAAGAAAGGAGCACUUAUCCUGAAAUAAU
rnacentral:lncRNA from 1 species